UCUGCUUCCUCCUGACUCUCUGGGUGUGACGGCCGGUGCCCAUCAUCUGUGAAGCCACAAGUCCUCCAAGACCAAGCCGCCUCUCAGGAUAUUUCUGGCUGCCGCCAACUGCAUGGCUUUCCAGGUCCCUGGAGGUUUUCUGAAGGCCAGACUCACAGCGAGACCAGGUGAGAACGUGACCCAAAGUGACCCGGGAAAUCAAAACGCCAAGACAAUUUAGAUGUGACACUCUGUGAUGAUUUCAUCAGAAGCUGAGGUGCUUUCCGCCGGCAAGGACCAACGUGGAUGGAGUCCUAGAAGUUUUAUGGAAAUGACAUCCCUCUGUCUGUGCUUCUCUUCAGGAACUGAGUCCAUCCCAAGUCAACUCUUGUCUGUGUGCAUGUGAGGGAUCACAGUUCUUCUGACACACAUUGGAAGGACAUGCAGACGUCUGGCCUGGCCUCCCUCGGCAGCAUUGGUUAACACAGAACUGUCAAGUGGCCCAGGAAGUUGCAGAGCACCAUGGGAGCCACAGCCUGCAGAGGCCGUCUUCUAGAUGGUUACCCAGCGCGAUGUCUACAGGAGGAGGAAGGCUCCCAAUAGAGGCCCACUAUCUGGAUAGCUAAUGUAAUCCAGCCUCGAGAGUAGAAGUUCACCCUCUUUUCUCUCCUUGACUUAAAAACAUGUUUUCAUGGGUUCAUAAAAUUUGAAAAAUUAAA